UACGUAGGGUCCGAGCGUUGUCCGGAAUUAUUGGGCGUAAAGGGCUCGUAGGCGGUCUGUUGCGUCGGGAGUGAAAACUUACAGCUUAACUGUGAGCGUGCUUUCGAUACGGGCAGACUUGAGGCAUUCAGGGGAGAACGGAAUUCCUGGUGUAGCGGUGAAAUGCGCAGAUAUCAGGAGGAACACCGAUGGCGAAGGCAAUCCCCUGGGCCUGCACUGACGCUCAUGCACGAAAGCGUGGGGAGCAAACAGG
rnacentral:rRNA from 1 species